rnacentral:rRNA from 1 species
CUUAAAUAGCUGCAGUAUUUUAACUGUACAAAGGUAGCGUAAUAAUUAGUCUUUUAAUUGGGGUCUAGAAUGAAAGGUUUGACAAGAAAAUAACUUUAUUAAUUUAAUUAAAUGAAUUUUAUUUUUUAGUUAAAAAGCUAAAAUUUUAAAAUGGGACGAUAAGACCCUAUAGAUCUUUAAAUUUUUAUUUAAUAGGGGUGUUUAUGGUUUAAUUAAUUUUUAUUUCAAAAAAUUUUUUGUUGGGGUGACAAUUAAAUUUUUAGAACUUUGAUAUUUAAUUACAUAAAUGCAUGUCUUAUUGAACCUGAAUUUGGGGUUGUUAAAAUAAGAUACCUUAGGGAUAACAGCGUAAUAAAUUUGUAUAGUUCAUAUAGAUAAAUUUGUUUACGACCUCGAUGUUGAAUUAACUUAAAGUUUUGGGGCAGAAAUUAAAAUUUUAGGUCUGUUCGACCUUUAAAGGGUUACA